AAACAGAAAGUUAUUGGACUGUCAUCUCUAGUCCUGCCCAUGAGCCUUGUGCCAUGCUUUUGGCCCAUCUCUGUGUUCACGAAAGGUCUGUGGCUAAAUGCCAGGAGGAUUGCUGACUGGGCCCAAACUUUUCCCUAGUAGAUUAUUCUGAAAUGUCUAUUAAAAGGAUUGGUCCUGAGUGAAAAUUGGCUUCCUGGCAUGGGGCAGUGCAGAUUGACCCAGCGGCCCGCCUCCUCCUGGAAGCCCAUAUAGAGAGAGCCUGGGCCCAGCCAGCACAUGGGGGAGGAGGAAUGUCCUCGGGUCAGACGGCCUGCCCACCGGCUUCCUGAAGAUGGCUUUAUGUUUCUUGACUACCUUCACUUUGUCAGCUUUCUCUUGAAGCUCUUCAGGCCUGGGCGCCCAUAGCUGGGGCCUCCUUAUCUUCUCAGCACAGCAGCUGUUGACCUUGUCCUUGUCCUUGUCCUUCUUUCUGUGCUGUUGCUAACUUCCCCCAGGGCUAAAUGCAGUUGUUGGACAGUUUUUAUUUCACUUAGUUAACAUCCAUUUAGAAAUCAGAAAAAACCAAAAAAAGCAGAAUUUCAAGCAAAUAGAAGUCGAUUUUGUUUUAUACCCAUUUGGUCUUGGGCCUGUUUAUAAUGAGCAUUUUGUUCAGAGAUAGGCAAGUUUGUAGCACUGCAGGAGAUUGUGCGUGUCUGGGCCCCUCCACCGGCCAAGCAAGGCUCAUGCAUCUAGGCUUUUAUUUUUCACUGUGGAAAUAGUCUCAGCUCCUGAAACCAUAGCAUUGAAUGGAAUUGGAAUCAUUUCUGCAGAAUUACUUGAAAAGUUUGAUGAAAAAUGUAUUGUAGUGCGCCUCUGUCUUCCUUUCUCUCUGGAACUUCUUUUACAGAUAGACCAGUACCCUGCUGGCAGCUAUUGUUUAAAAAAUAAAAAUAAAAAUUAUAUUUUCACUACCAAAAAAAAAAAUAAGCUAGUAAGUGCAGCUUAGCCAAGUGGAUAGAGCGCCAGCCCUGGAGAUGGGAGGUCCUGGGUUCAAAUGUGGCUUCAGACACUUCUUAGCUGUGUGACCCUGGAUAAGUGACUUUAGCCCCAUUGCCCAGCCCUGAUUGCUCUUCUGUGUCGAUUCCAAGGCAGAAGGUUAGUAGUUAAAAAGAAGCGGAGAGAAUGUGUGACAUUUCCAUUCAGCCCUGACAGUCUUUCAUUCCAGGCUUAGCAGGGCUUGGGGCAGAGAUCCCUGGUUUUGCUCGCAGGGGCUCUCCCUGCCCAUCUUUAGCAGGAUGAUCUUCAUGACCCAGCCGGGCUCAGAACAGACAAAACCAAAGCCAACCCAGCAUCCUUUGGUGUUGGGCUCUCUUGGGCUGAGCUAGAAAGACUUUGCAGGCUCCAUCCAUCUCGCUCCAGCCCCAUAGGGCUUCACUGGUAAAGUCUUCAGGCACUUUCAGCACCCAAGGAGGAG
rnacentral:lncRNA from 1 species